rfam:Spinacia oleracea cultivar SynViroflay scaffold38965.con0002.1, whole genome shotgun sequence.
AACCUAUUAGCUCAAAUGGUAGAGCAUUAUGCAUAUGCAUAUGGGAUGUAGGUUCGAUUCCUACAUAGGUUG